GAUCGGCCCGCGUCUGAUUAGCUAGUUGGUGAGGUAACGGCUCACCAAGGCGACGAUCAGUAUCUGGUCUGAGAGGAUGAUCAGCCACAUUGGGACUGAGACACGGCCCAAACUCCUACGGGAGGCAGCAGUGGGGAAUAUUGGACAAUGGGCGCAAGCCUGAUCCAGCCAUGCCGCGUGAGUGAUGAACGCCCUAGGGUUGUAUAGCUUUUUUGUGCGGGAAGAUAAUGACGGUACCGCAAGAAUAAGCCCCGGCUAACUUCGUGCCAGCAGCCUCGGUAAUACGAAGGGGGCUAGCGUUGCUCGGAAUCACUGGGCGUAAAGGGUGCGUAGGCUGGUCUUUAAGUCAAGGGUGAAAUCCUGGAGCUCAACUCCAGAACUGCCUUUGAUACUGAAGAUCUUGAGUUCGGGAGAGGUGAGUGGAACUGCGAGUGUAGAAGUGAAAUUCGUUUAUAUUCGCAAGAACACCAAUGGGCGAAGGUGUCUCCUGGCCCCGAUACUGACCCUUAAGCACCUAUGCGUGGGGAGCAAACAGGAUUUAUAUUCCUGGUAGUCCACCCCCUAAAAUAUGAAAUGCCACCGUUAUUGGGGUUUACUCACUAGGUGUGCCAACUAAUGCUUUAAGCAUUCCCCCCUGGGG
rnacentral:rRNA from 1 species